CCUACGGGGGGCAGCAGUGGGGAAUAUUGGACAAUGGGGGCAACCCUGAUCCAGCCAUGCCGCGUGUGUGAAGAAGGCCCUCGGGUUGUAAAGCACUUUCAGUGAGGAAGAACGCCUGGUGGUUAAUACCCAUCAGGAAAGACAUCACUCACAGAAGAAGCACCGGCUAACUCCGUGCCAGCAGCCGCGGUAAUACGGAGGGUGCGAGCGUUAAUCGGAAUUACUGGGCGUAAAGCGCGCGUAGGUGGCUUGAUAAGCCGGUUGUGAAAGCCCCGGGCUCAACCUGGGAACGGCAUCCGGAACUGUCAAGCUAGAGUGCAGGAGAGGAAGGUAGAAUUCCCGGUGUAGCGGUGAAAUGCGUAGAGAUCGGGAGGAAUACCAGUGGCGAAGGCGGCCUUCUGGACUGACACUGACACUGAGGUGCGAAAGCGUGGGUAGCAAACAGGAUUAGAUACCCUUGUAAUC
rnacentral:rRNA from 1 species